rnacentral:tRNA from 1 species
GAGAGCUUGGCUGAGUGGUUAAGCGGUUGGCUGCAACCCUUCAUACACUGGUUCGAAUCCAGUAGCUCUCUCCA